UCUGGAGAGCAGGGGAACCACACUUCAAUAGCAUCAUCAGGCCGUCUUUGCCUGCACGCUGAACAGAAUCGAAGUCCUGCUUAAAUCCUCACAGUCAAUUCAGCUGGAAGAUUUUUUUCUUCUUUCUGCUCUACUUGUGGUUGUAUGCAUUAUUACUGUGGUAGCUGAUAUAGAGCUGCUGAACCAGCUGUCUGCUAUCAGGUUCACUGUCCUCUUGUGCAAGGCCAGGCUGAAGGAAGGUAGGUGAUGGUGUAAAAUUGGGGGCACACAUUUUAUAUUGUUAUUUUUAAAUAGGGAAAAGGUAAAUACCAAGGAUAACGAAAGGCUAAUAAUUUUUUUAAUGAUAAAAACAAGCAAGAAAAAUAUACUUAAGUUGAAAAUGAUGUUUUUCCACUGAAUAAUACAACUUAUUAUAGAAACUACAACAGCAACUGAAGUUUAGGUUCUCCCUUUCAUGGUUACCACAGUGAUGGUUUAUUACAACAAUUUCAUCUUCUGGUAACAUUAGCAUAGGAAUUGUAAUAAAACAUUAAUCCCACAGACUGCAGUCUUCGCUUGCUGAUUCUGUGUAUCUACUUGCAUGUCUGGAACCAAUCUUGGCUUAAUAUUUACCAUUUUAGCACCUGAUACCUCAUAUUCCUGCACUGUUUAACUUUAAUGAGAUGAAGGUUGUUUUCUGUACGUGGAAUUCAAUGCACACAACUCAAAAUAGAAUUGAGUAUAGUGAUACUGAAA